UACGUAGGGAGCAAGCGUUAUCCGGAAUUAUUGGGUGUAAAGGGUGCGUAGACGGGAAAAUAAGUUAGUUGUGAAAUCCCUCGGCUCAACUGAGGAACUGCAACUAAAACUGUAAUUCUUGAGUGCAGGAGAGGAAAGUGGAAUUCCUAGUGUAGCGGUGAAAUGCGUAGAUAUUGGGAGGAACACCAGUGGCGAAGGCGACUUUCUGGACUGUAACUGACGUUGAGGCACGAAAGUGUGGGGAGCAAACAGG
rnacentral:rRNA from 1 species